rnacentral:rRNA from 2 species
GACUUAGUGGCGGACGGGUGAGUAACACGUGGGAACGUGCCUUUAGGUUCGGAAUAACUCAGGGAAACUUGUGCUAAUACCGAAUGUGCCCUUCGGGGGAAAGAUUUAUCGCCUUUAGAGCGGCCCGCGUCUGAUUAGCUAGUUGGUGAGGUAAAGGCUCACCAAGGCGACGAUCAGUAGCUGGUCUGAGAGGAUGAUCAGCCACAUUGGGACUGAGACACGGCCCAAACUCCUACGGGAGGCAGCAGUGGGGAAUCUUGCGCAAUGGGCGAAAGCCUGACGCAGCCAUGCCGCGUGAAUGAUGAAGGUCUUAGGAUUGUAAAAUUCUUUCACCGGGGACGAUAAUGACGGUACCCGGAGAAGAAGCCCCGGCUAACUUCGUGCCAGCAGCCGCGGUAAUACGAAGGGGGCUAGCGUUGCUCGGAAUUACUGGGCGUAAAGGGAGCGUAGGCGGACAUUUAAGUCAGGGGUGAAAUCCCGGGGCUCAACCUCGGAAUUGCCUUUGAUACUGGGUGUCUUGAGUGUGAGAGAGGUAUGUGGAACUCCGAGUGUAGAGGUGAAAUUCGUAGAUAUUCGGAAGAACACCAGUGGCGAAGGCGACAUACUGGCUCAUUACUGACGCUGAGGCUCGAAAGCGUGGGGAGCAAACAGGAUUAGAUACCCUGGUAGUCCACGCCGUAAACGAUGAUUGCUAGUUGUCGGGAUGCAUGCAUUUCGGUGACGCAGCUAA